rnacentral:rRNA from 1 species
UGUUUGAUGUUCUAACGUGGACCCGUAAUCCGGGUUGCGGACAGUGUCUGGUGGGUAGUUUGACUGGGGCGGUCUCCUCCUAAAGAGUAACGGAGGAGCACGAAGGUUGGCUAAUCCUGGUCGGACAUCAGGAGGUUAGUGCAAUGGCAUAAGCCAGCUUGACUGCGAGCGUGACGGCGCGAGCAGGUGCGAAAGCAGGUCAUAGUGAUCCGGUGGUUCUGAAUGGAAGGGCCAUCGCUCAACGGAUAAAAGGUACUCCGGGGAUAACAGGCUGAUACCGCCCAAGAGUUCAUAUCGACGGCGGUGUUUGGCACCUCGAUGUCGGCUCAUCACAUCCUGGGGCUGAAGUAGGUCCCAAGGGUAUGGCUGUUCGCCAUUUAAAGUGGUACGCGAGCUGGGUUUAGAACGUCGUGAGACAGUUCGGUCCCUAUCUGCCGUGGGCGCUGGAGAACUGAGGGGGGCUGCUCCUAGUACGAGAGGACCGGAGUGGACGCAUCACUGGUGUUCGGGUUGUCAUGCCAAUGGCACUGCCCGGUAGCUAAAUGCGGAAGAGAUAAGUGCUGAAAGCAUCUAAGCACGAAACUUGCCCCGAGAUGAGUUCUCCCUGAGACUUUAAGUCUCC